AACGAACGCUGGCGGCAUGCCUAACACAUGCAAGUCGAACGAGACCUUCGGGUCUAGUGGCGCACGGGUGCGUAGCGCGUGGGAACCUGCCCUUAGGUUCGGAAUAACUCCCCGAAAGGGGUGCUAAUACCGGAUAAUGUCUUCGGACCAAAGAUUUAUCGCCUUUGGAUGGGCCCGCGCUGGAUUAGCUAGUUGGUAGGGUAAAAGCCUACCAAGGCGACGAUCCAUAGCUGGUCUGAGAGGAUGAUCAGCCACACUGGGACUGAGACACGGCCCAGACUCCUACGGGAGGCAGCAGUGGGGAAUAUUGGACAAUGGGCGAAAGCCUGAUCCAGCAAUGCCGCGUGAGUGAUGAAGGCCUUAGGGUUGUAAAGCUCUUUUACCCGGGAUGAUAAUGACAGUACCGGGAGAAUAAGCUCCGGCUAACUCCGUG
rnacentral:rRNA from 1 species